GACAAACGCUUGCGGCGUGCUUAACACAUGCAAGUCGAACGGAAAGGCCCUGCUUUUGUGGGGUGCUCGAGUGGCGAACGGGUGAGUAACACGUGAGUAACCUGCCCUUGACUUUGGGAUAACUUCAGGAAACUGGGGCUAAUACCGGAUAGGAGCUCCUGCUGCAUGGUGGGGGUUGGAAAGUUUCGGCGGUUGGGGAUGGACUCGCGGCUUAUCAGCUUGUUGGUGGGGUAGUGGCUUACCAAGGCUUUGACGGGUAGCCGGCCUGAGAGGGUGACCGGCCACAUUGGGACUGAGAUACGGCCCAGACUCCUACGGGAGGCAGCAGUGGGGAAUAUUGCACAAUGGGCGGAAGCCUGAUGCAGCAACGCCGCGUGCGGGAUGACGGCCUUCGGGUUGUAAACCGCUUUCGCCUGUGACGAAGCGUGAGUGACAGUAAUGGGUAAAGAAGCACCGGCUAACUACGUGCCAGCAGCCGCGGUGAUACGUAGGGUGCGAGCGUUGUCCGGAUUUAUUGGGCGUAAAGGGCUCGUAGGUGGUUGAUCGCGUCGGAAGUGUAAUCUUGGGGCUUAACCCUGAGCGUGCUUUCGAUACGGGUUGACUUGAGGAAUUUAGGGGAGAAUGGAAUUCCUGGUGGAGCGGUGGAAUGCGCAGAUAUCAGGAGGAACACCAGUGGCGAAGGCGGUUCUCUGGGCCUUUCCUGACGCUGAGGAGCGAAAGCGUGGGGAGCGAACAGGCUUAGAUACCCUGGUAGUCCACGCUGUAAACGGUGGGUACUAGGUGUGGGGUCCAUUCCACGGGUUCCGUGCCGUAGCUAACGCUUUAAGUACCCCGCCUGGGGAGUACGGCCGCAAGGCUAAAACUCAAAGGAAUUGACGGGGCCCCGCACAAGCGGCGGAGCAUGCGGAUUAAUUCGAUGCAACGCGUAGAACCUUACCUGGGUUUGACAUGGAUCGGGAGUGCUCAGAGAUGGGUGUGCCUCUUUUGGGGUCGGUUCACAGGUGGUGCAUGGCUGUCGUCAGCUCGUGUCGUGAGAUGUUGGGUUAAGUCCCGCAACGAGCGCAACCCUUGUUCACUGUUGCCAGCACGUUAUGGUGGGGACUCAGUGGAGACCGCCGGGGUCAACUCGGAGGAAGGUGGGGAUGACGUCAAGUCAUCAUGCCCCUUAUGUCCAGGGCUUCACGCAUGCUACAAUGGCUGGUACAGAGAGUGGCGAGCCUGUGAGGGUGAGCGAAUCUCGGAAAGCCGGUCUCAGUUCGGAUUGGGGUCUGCAACUCGACCUCAUGAAGUCGGAGUCGCUAGUAAUCGCAGAUCAGCAACGCUGCGGUGAAUACGUUCCCGGG
rnacentral:rRNA from 1 species